rnacentral:rRNA from 1 species
CACCCAGUGGGUGUGCUGGCGCACCCCCACGGAAGAUUGCAAACAAAAGAAGAGUUUUGUCUGGUUGCCAGCAGCCGGCAGAAGAGAAAAAUAAGAAAAAGGACGCUGCAAGAUGCCUCGCCGCCUGGCCGGUCGAGCCUGACCGGCCGGGACCCCCCUUCGAGCACCCGGAGGCUCGAAGGCUACACCCAACGGGUACGCCGGCGCGCUCCGGGAGCGCCGAGCCGUGCCGGCUGUCUUCGACAACGACCGCGACUACACGAAAAUCAAUGUGAGCUCCUCACCCGUAUAUUUUUUGCACCACGCAAGCACGGAUAACCCCGAGCGAAGCUCGGGGCUGUCUCCUCGUUUUAUUACAGUAGCAUCACUGUUUGCCCCGGCGCCAACCAGAGUUGGCCCGGGGGCUGGCCGCUUGGCCUGAGAUGUUAGAUCCCGCAGACGGCUUAAUACUAUGCACAGUACCAAAGGCCCACUCUUAGUCACAGACCGCAGAGUGGCUGUCCGACUAGCAAGAGUGAACGCUGGAGGCCACCCACGCGAAAAACGUCCGGGAAGAAAAACGGUUCGGGCGACCCGGUCAUUUCCUUUACAAGUAUCUACUCGGUUGAAUCUGUUCUCAGACUCUGAGUACUGUACAUUCCACUUCGCGGCCCACUCUCAGCCACAGACCGCAGAGCGGCUGUCCGGCAAGCAAGAGCACAAGCCAAAAGGCGGAGGGAACACGAAAAAGAUUAAGGGGGCUCGGACGAAACUGAGUCGGCACCCCCCGCAUAAAACUUGCAAUGCUAAAAGCAAACAUUUGAUAUAUCUGCGUGGACUAACUUUGUCUUUUUCAUGAUCAUUCCCAUGAACACUCGCCAAAAAACCUCCGCCCAACUUUACCAAGUUGCCCGGAGGCUUGGGGGCUACUGUCGGAAUAAUUGGACACGGAUAUCCCGAAGACGGCGAGACUAGAAUUCAAGACAUCAGGGCUAGCAUAGACCCUCAGUCCAACUACCUGGCAGGCGGCUGACUGCUGGCUGCUGACUGCUCCACCAGGCCGACUGCUGGCUGCUGACUGCUCCACCAAGCCGACUGUUGGCUGCCGACUUCCCGGCCGCCCCAGGCCGGCUGCUGGCUGCUGACUGCUCCACCAGGCCGGCUGCUGGCUAUUGAUUGCUCCACCAGGCCGACUGCUGGCUGCUGGCUGCUCCACCAGGCCGGCUGCUGGCUGCUGACUACUCUACCAGGCCGACUGCUAGCUGCUGACUGCUCCACCAGGCCGACUACUGACUGCUGACUGCUCCACCAGGCUGACUGCUGGCUGCCGACUACUCCACCAGGCCGACGGUUGGCUGUCGACUGCUCCAACCAGCCGGCUUCCCGAAGUCAACUGGAGCCUGACACGACCCCGACGUGACGAUCGUACCUGAGCACUGUACACGCGACACCCCAACCAUCAUGUACAGUGACACUUGUCCCUGGGCACUAUUUAUGAAGUGACCCAGGGGACAAGUGUGACACCCCACCAUGCCAAUAGCUAGCUAGCUACCAUGCCUACAUAGCUUAGAUAGUAAGCUAGCUCCACACUAUAUAUAUCCAUCCAUCCACCCUCACAUGCACACACGCAUGAGCAUACACAUGCUCACGGCCAUGAGCCAUGAGCAUGGCCGGCCACUAGAGCAUGCCACAUACAUGCAUAUAUAAAACCAGAUGCCUGUGGCACUGCUUUCAGAUACAGCUCUAGGAGAAACUCUAUACCAGAUAUACCAGAUAUACUCAAACAUGCAGGAGUUGGGGU